rnacentral:SRP_RNA from 1 species
CCGCGCUCUCGGGAGUGACCCACUGUCCGUAGGUGGGAGGAUGUCCCUGUUCUCCCCUUCCCUGUCCCACUAGCUUUCCCGGUGCCCCAGGUCCGCAGGCCAUCCAGUCGUGAAUCGCGUCAGGCCCCCGCAGGGAGCAGCGCUAAACGACGUCGGGUGUCGCUGCGGGGAGCCUGGGGCAUCUCUUAUGAACGCGGAAGUGAGAACGCGGAACGCGG